rnacentral:lncRNA from 1 species
CUUUUACAGUUGCUUGUACAAAGGAAAUUCAUUGACCCUUCGUGCAAGCUGGUGACCCUGUUGCCUCGAACAGGACAAUCUCUGGCUUGUGUAAUUGCAAGCUGAAACUCAUGAGCAUGGAACUCUGUGUGCUCCACCCAUGGAACCGUAACACUCUGCGUUUGGUCGUAGGAUACUCACCUUGGCACUGUAUGCAAAAUAGAAGAUUGUUUGUUUGUUUGUUUGUUUGUUUAAAAAUACCAAGUUUGUGUGCAAAACACAUUUCUUCUACUUUCAGAAAAACAUGGACUUUUGCCAAUGCUAACAGAAGGAGGGGGAGGAGGAGGAGGAGGAGGAGAAGAAGAAGAAGAAGAAGAAGAAGAAGAAGAAGAANNNNNNNNNNNNNNNNNNNNNNNNAAGCAGGAGGUGGAGGAGGAGGAGGAGGAGGAGAAGAAGAAGAAGAAGAAGAAGAAGAAGAAGAAGAAGAAGAAGAAGAAGAAGAAGAAGAAGAAGAAGAAGAAGAAGAAGAAGAAGAAGGGUAGGAGUGCAGACUCUUGCAGAACAAAGGUCUGUUUUCAUCCAUUAAUCCUGGCGAAGAUCCCACUAGCUUGCAUUAUCCUCACUUUUGGUCUCGCUAGUGGAAAAGAUAUGGUUUCAAGAAGAGCAACAGUCAUACAGAGGAAGGGCAGGAUCUGUCCUCAAUCAUCACAGAGUGCAGGACGUGUAAUAAUGGACUCAAGUCAUUGGUUCCACAAAAUUGAAAUUGGGGAGAAAAAGCUUUGUAACUGUUAGAGGAGUACAACAAUGGAACUUAUAAUAAUCAUGGGAGGUGG